GCGGGAUUAGUUUGAUCAUGGCUCAGCGCGAACGUUGGCGGCGUGCCUAACACAUGCAAGUCGUGGGGCAGCAGGCUACUGUCUUUUGGCAGUAGUGCUGGCGACCGGCAAACGGGUGAGUAACACGUAGCUUACCUACCCAUAGGUUAGGGAUAACAUCCCGAAAGGGGUGCUAAUACCCAAUAAUGAGGAGACUCCAAAGCCCUUAUGGGUGCCUAUGGAUGAGGCUGCGUCCCAUCAGCUAGUUGGUGAGGUAAUGGCUCACCAAGGCUACGACGGGUAACCGGUCUGAGAGGAUGACCGGUCACAGUGGGACUGAGACACGGCCCGCACCCCUACGGGGGGCAGCAGUGGGGAAUAUUGGGCAAUGGCCGAAAGGCUGACCCAGCAACGCCGCGUGGUGGAUGAAGCCCUUCGGGGUGUAAACACCUUUUCUGGGGGAAGAUAAUGACGGUACCCCAGGAAUAAGGGACGGCUAACUACGUGCCAGCAGCCGCGGUAAUACGUAGGUCCCGAACGUUGCGCGAAUUUACNNNNCGUAAAGGGUCCGUNNNCGGUUUAGCAAGUGGUUGGUGAAAUUUCACGGCUCAACCGUGAAACUGCCUUCCAAACUGCUAAACUUGA
rnacentral:rRNA from 1 species